GUGUUGUAUGGACAGAGAGGAAUUCAGCAUUCCUCUUGAAGAGGCUAAAAGAGGCCCUCAGGCCUAACAACAGGCUUACGUGAAAACAUUGUCAUCUUAAUAGCUUCUAAGCACUGUAUUUU